UACGAAGGGGGCUAGCGUUGCUCGGAAUCACUGGGCGUAAAGAGUGCGUAGGCGGGUCUUUUAAGUCAGGGGUGAAAUCCUGGAGCUCAACUCCAGAACUGCCUCUGAUACUGGGGAUCUUGAGUCCGGAAGAGGUAAGUGGAACUGCGAGUGUAGAGGUGAAAUUCGUAGAUAUUCGCAAGAACACCAGUGGCGAAGGCGGCUUACUGGUCCGGUACUGACGCUGAGGUGCGAAAGCAUGGGGAGCAAACAGG
rnacentral:rRNA from 1 species